AUGACCCCCUGGAGCAAAUGCAACAGUUGUUGUCCCACUGGCAUCUCUCUUCCUACAUGGAAUGUGCAUCAAGGGCCUCUGUCUCUGCCAGGAGGUGGUGAUGGGUUUUUGUACAGCCUUGUGUCACUGUGGUGGAUCUUCGGAGGAGGGACCCAGCUGAUCGUCAGUGGUCAGCCAGCAUCUCCUCCCAUAGUGCACCUUUUCCCUCCAUCCACAGAAGAGAAGGAGAGCAAAGACAAGGCCACCCUGGUCUGUUUGAUGCAAGACUUCCAUCCACCUGCCAUCACAGUCACCUGGGAGGCUGAUGGCACCAUUAUCUCUACCGGUGUGGAGACGACCAAGCCGAUUAAGCACAACGACAAGUACAUGGCCAGCAGUUACCUGACGGUGGAUCCUGCAAAGUGGGAAAGUCAUCAGAGUUUCUCCUGCAAGGUGACACAUGAAAGGUCCGACUACGUGAAGAGUGUGAGCCAUUCACAAUGUCCUUAACCCUCUCCUGCCACAGAGAUUUGCUGCGUCUGGAUCGCAGUUGUGUAAGGAGGAAAACAUCAGAGGGGCUGUGCAACUGGCUCUUUCUCCCCCCCCCCCCACCUACCCCACUUUUCCUUCUGUACUCCCCACAAUUUUCACACACUUUCCCUAUCCCCUCAGCUUUAUAGGUAUCCUUGUUAGUCCUAAUGAAUAAUAAAAACAGAAUCAUGCAAUUUUGCUGUCUGUAUAGAUUUUCUUUAGUGGCAGUUUUAAAAAAGAUUGUUAGUUGACCUCUGUCAGUCAAUAAAACAAGACAAUUCUUGAUGAUGUCA